rnacentral:rRNA from 1 species
UACGGAGGAUGCGAGCGUUGUUCGGAAUCACUGGGCUUAAAGCGCAUGCAGGCGGAACGGAAGGUGCUUUGUGAAAUCCCUCGGCUCAACCGAGGAAUUGCUUGGCAAACCACCGUUCUUGAGGCAGGUAGAGGCGACUGGAACCUUUGGUGGAGAGGUGAAAUUCGUAGAUAUCAAAGAGAACGACGGUGGCGAAAGCGGGUCGCUGGGCCUGUCCUGACGCUCAGAUGCGAAAGCGUAGGGAGCGAACGGG